CGUGUGCCCGGUGCUGGCCUGCGUUGGAUGAGGAAAUGAAAACACAGAGAGGAGAAGGCACUCGCCUGAGGUACCCUGCCAGACGCUGGGGACGGGCUCACACGCAGCGGCCCAAAGCCUGCUGCCUCUCGGAGCAGCGGGGGUCUGGGACGGAUAUUGAGGCACAGGGCCUUGGACGUGCCCGUGGAGCUGCUCAGCCAGUGGGGAGUUAGCCAGCGUUUUACAGGCAAAGCUGCGGAGCUGUGCUGGUGCCUGUGUAGAGCGGUUGAAGAAGAAAUGAUCAGGAAUUGGAGUUAACAGCUUUUCUGUGGGGCAGUUCGACAUGAAGAAAAUACCUGUUCAAGGACUUUGAAAUAAAGAUGAAAAAGAGGCCACACGUCCUUACAUACCUGAUAUUUCUUUUUUUCUUUCUUUCUUUCUUUCUUUCU
rnacentral:lncRNA from 10 species